GAUGAACGCCGGCGGCGUGCCUAAUACAUGCAAGUCGAGCGGCCGCACGAGAAGCUUGCUUCUCUGCUGUUAGCGGCGGACGGGUGAGUAACACGUGGAUAGCCUACCUCUAUGACUGGGAUAACUUCGGGAAACCGUUGCUAAUAACGGCUAAUACUUUGAACCGCAUGGUUCAAAAGUGCUAGACGGUCUGGCCGUCUCUUUUAGCCGGUUCCGCAUUAGCUAGUUGGGAAGGUAAAGGCCUACCAAGGCAACGAUCCAUAGCUGGCCUGAGAGGAUGAUCAGCCAAACUGGAACUGAGACACGGUCCAGACUCCUACGGGAGGCAGCAGUGGGGAAUAUUGCGCAAUGGGCGAAAGCCUGACGGAGCAACGCCGCGUGAGUGAAGAAGGUCUUCGGGUUGUAAAACUCUGUUAUUAGGGAAGAAAAUAUGCGUAUGAAACUGUGCACAUCCUGACGGUACCUAAUGAGAAAGCCACGGCUAACUACGUG
rnacentral:rRNA from 1 species